rnacentral:rRNA from 1 species
UACGGGGGGAGCAAGCGUUGUUCGGAUUUACUGGGCGUAAAGGGCGCGUAGGCGGCUCGGUAAGUAGGGGGUGAAAUCCUGCGGCUUAACCGCAGGGCUGCCUUCUAAACUGUCGAGCUCGAGCACGGUAGAGGCAGAUGGAAUUCCCGGUGUAGCGGUGGAAUGCGUAGAGAUCGGGAAGAACAUCAGUGGCGAAGGCGGUCUGCUGGGCCGUUGCUGACGCUGAGGCGCGACAGCGUGGGGAGCAAACAGG